UAAGGUUAUUUUUAUCGUCACUUACAGCCUUAUCGUCACUACCAGCAGGCCGCGACAAUGACGUGCAUAGCAACUUCAAAGCGAAAGGAAUACACAUCACUGAUUCAUGCUAUUUCAUCGUGUAAUGAGGAAUAUUAUAAAAUUGCUAAUCGCAAGAGGAGAGAGGAACAGAAAUGCAAAAAUACAUUGCAACGUAACGUAUUCACGAUGAAUAAUGAACUGAUAUGCGUUGGCAAAUAAAUAAAUAUUUCGCCAUGAACACACCAUCGCUAGAUGUGCCAACGUUCCUUUCGUUCGUCACAUGACACGUAACCCACGCGGCGCUCGCCAGUUUCGCCCGCUGGAACGUAUUAAAUCUCUCGUGACAAUGACGUUUGCAUUUCUGAAGUGCUGACGCGACCCAUACAGGCCGUCGGGCGUGUACUCGAAACAAGGGUACAUCGUUUUCACGACGACGCGCGACGCCGUGUUUUUUUUUUUUUUUUUGCCCGCGCUACUCGCUGGCGUAUACGAGCUUGCGAUAUGGGGAACAGAGACACUUGACACCGGCUGUUUGCUCGAACACGCGACAAACAUGAAAAAAUAUAUAUAUGACGAAAACCACCGAUCGCCAGACACGUUAUCAACGGAACAAAUCCAACGGUAACGCGAACUGUCCCAACGAGCAUGACUUUCGACGUUUAAAUUGUCCCGCCAAUAGCCUCGAGAUGGUCCAUCUACAGACACGCUUACUGUGUUUCGUUUAUGAUCAAAAUUCCACGAUAUACUUGCCAAGAGUGAUAAUACAGAGAAGUAGAGUAUUUCGUUGAAUAUAUGGCGCGCCCAGGAAAUGGAUAAAUUGAAUCGGUAUAAAGGAAUGAAGGAGAAUGAAAGAUAAAGAAAACGACUGAAACGUUUGUAAACGAUGAUUGAAUAAAUGAACGUUUAUAGCCUGUGUAAAGGAGCUGGAUAGUAUCCGUGGCCAAUCUUGAUAAUACAAGAAAACGAUUACUCCAACGUAUUGCGCGCAGCUCGGCGAUCGAAUAAGGACUGUUGCGACCGGAUAUCCGCCUACAGUUACAACAUGAGAUCGGAAGCAAACGCGCUAACACGAUUUUACUCGCGCGAGCACACGUUGCGUGCCCAACGAUAAGGUUUUCCCAACUUUAUCUCUGGAACGGUGGAUUCGUUCGGGGCGACAGACUGGAGCAGAAUGGAUGAGCCUGCAAACGCAUGGCCAUGGUCAACCCCUGGUCGUAAUAUCGCGCCACAGGGAAUACGAGGGUGGAGAGACUGCACGGACUGAUUUCUCCAGCCAUGCCAGUGAGCACGCCAGUCGAUGUUUAGGAUCUCGGAAUUGUUCCAGCUAGCGGUGGACGUUCGAUGCCCCCCGAGUUCUUGAACCAUUCGACGUUGCAAGCAUUGGAAUGCUUCUGAAUAUUUUAAAUUACGUAGAGGAGGAUGCACGAUCAUUCGAUUUCAGAUAUUCGUACUGAUAAAGAUUUGUAAUUAGUCGUUGGAUAAUCAGAUUCUUUUGAUGGAUAAACUUAUUCGAAUAAUCUGUGAAACAUCGAAAACAACAAUCAAGAUACGAAGCAAUAUUCAAUAGUCUGCAUAAAUUUCAAACGACCUUAUUUUAUCAUAAACUUCGGGCACGAUAAAUACAUUUCGUGGCGUCCCGAGUCUAUCGCUAUCUGUAGAAGGGCGAAUGCGCGUUACAACACGAAUCUAUCUUGCCCUUUUUUCCCCACUUUUUCUCGUUAUUUCUUGCCUCGCCGAUUCUCUAGCAGCCAUGAAAUCUGACAGCCGUAGGCCGUAAACGCGCCACGACUGCUUAUUAAAGGGAACCGGCUCGCUUUAUUUCGCGAAGGGAAACAAGAGACAGAGUAAAUAUGUCGGCUGGAUGUGUGUCCACGUUGUCGCGGAAACGCGGCGGGCGUCCUUUGAGUGCCUCUUACGGACGGUGCCUGUUGACGCCUCGUUUGCUCUGUGAUUGAACGGCCCGCUUCGUUUGCUCAAACGCCGCUCGCGUGCCCGUAAUUUAUAAAAACGGAUGUUUUUAUUAAUUUCCUGUUGCGUCUUGUAAUUCGUAACUUUCGAACGAAAUAUUAGUACCCUGGUAUCUGACGGCUAGAUACUACAAAUAUAAUUACCUACGUGACGCAAA